rnacentral:lncRNA from 1 species
UUUUUUUUUUUUUUUUUAAACACUAUAAUUUUUGCUAGUAAGUAUAAAGGGUAAGAGUAUUUUGGUACAUUUUCUGAUGGAAAUGUAAAUUAUCCCAAUCUUUUUGGGACACAAUCUAUCAACACCUACUAAAGUUUUUUCAAUCUGUAUAUUCCUCACCCCAGCAAUCCUAAUCCAGGGAAUCUAUUCCAUAGAAGUAAAACUAUCAUGGUCGUGAUAUGUGCACAGGCACAAUUACCAUAACAGUAAAAAUCUGCUAACGAAAUGAACGCCCAUCACAUUAACUUUGUCAUCAUACAGUAUACCCAGCAUUAAAAAGAAUGAAAUAAGAGCUAUAAGAUAGACGUGGAGGGAUUCAUAUGUUGUUGAUUGAGAAAAAUGCAGAGGAUGUAUAUAAUCCCAUGUAAAGCAAACCGACCCAUCAAAAAAUUAUUUUAUGUAAAAUUGUGCAUAAAAAUUAAGAAAUUUAAAAGAUAUAUACAUAUAUAUGUAUAUAUAUACUUGUAAGGUGCUCACAAUACACAUUACAUUUUAGAAAUUUCAGAAUAACUACAGAAAAAGACAAAACCCUGUAUGUAAUAUCUGUGUACUCAUAUUUGUGUGAAUAAGAAUAUAGAAAGAGAUAUCAGGCUGCUACAACGGAGUUGGGAGUGAAAUGGUAUGGUGAGAUAUUAGUUUUGCCAUUACACAUCUUUAUUUCAUUUAUUGCUCUUUUGUAUUGUUCUUUUAAUUAACUUAUUAAACGGAAGUAGUAUUAAUUUGCAUCACUCCUUUUUUUUGCUUUUUAAGGCCGCACUUGUGGCAUAUGGUGGUUCCCAGGCUACAGGUCAAAUCGGAGCUAUAGCCUCUGCCCUACACCAGAGCCACAGCAACGCCAGAUCUGAGCCGCAUCUGCGACCUACACCACAGCUCACGGGAAUGCUGGAUCCUUAACCCACUGAAUGAGGCCAGGGAUCGAACCUGCAACCUCAUGGUUUCUAGUCGGAUUCGUUUCCGGUGAGUCACAAGAGGAAAUCCCUGUCACUCUUUUAAUCUGAGAAACAUCAAAUCGCCUCCCCUCUUUUUGUUUUUCCUUAUACCUAUCACUAAUAUUCCAUGUAUUUUACUUGUAUUAUUUGUUGUUUCCCCCAGCUGUAAUGUCAGCUGUAUCAGGUAAAGGAUUUUGUCUGCUACAGCACUUAACACCAGCACUUAGAAUAGUCUAGCACAUAGCAGGCACUCAAUUAUUGAGGAAAGUAAUAUUUUAUGUAUAACUUCUUUAGGGCUUCUCCUGAUGUUCAUUUUAACCUUAUUUCUCCUAAAAAUCUGAUAUUCCAGAAGCUCUCAGGAGGGUGACAGAAUUUCAUGAUAAGAAGACUGAAUUCAGGAAGUGAAUAGUUAUUUCUUGAAUGCUUACUACCACCCGAGAUUUAGAGUGUUUUAUAUCUACUCUCUCAAGUCAAUCUAAGUGAGUAGAUCUAUAGUACCCAUUUCAUAGAUGAGAAACCAAUUCAGAUUAGCUUGUUUAAAGUCUCACAGACAACAAACGCUCUGUGCCCAGGCCAUAAUCCUGUUCUUUCCUCUGUGCUAUACUGAGUGUACAGAAAUUGUAUUUUAAUAAUUAAAAAAGAGAGACAAUAGUUCUUACAGAAUAUAUAGGUUUAAUAUUAUUUUGAGAUUUUUUAGUUGAAUAUUUUGUAGUCACGUAAUUCACUACUCUGUUGAUGAGUCUCUUAAUGAUUUAACAGUCCUUUGAUUGUUCGAUAUAAACACCCUGUCUCUAACUAGUUGACUAUUUUACUCCUGAAGCAAUUAAGCUGUUCAGCUCAAGCCUCAAGCCUCCUGGGCCCUCCUGGAGUGGUAGCAGCAAACCAAGAUAACGCAGAACUAUCCCUAGGAGAGGUAAUAAGCAUUUAGAUAAUUACCAUCAGAUCUUCAAGACAAAACUUCCCUAAGAACAAAAACAGCUCUAAGAACUUGGUCCAAGCAAGCUCUUUAACUCCAAAGCAAGCUCCCCAGAGGAAUGCCUUUCUCAACAAGCUUCUACUGGGACAAUCUUCCUUCCUCUUUGAAGAAGAAAAGCCAUUCCGGAGAAGCAGACCAUUUGAGGAUCAUAAGGAAAAAGAGUGGUGGACCUGGUCUGGGCCCAAGAUAGUCAAGGCAGGGUUUAGUUUCAGGUUAGAGAGUUCCCUGUCAAGGGAUCAGAGGUCAGUAAGUUGGUGUUCAGGAGGCUGGGAGGGCAGAGAGACAUCACAACAAGGCUUAGAGACACCACCUAGUCCCCCACAUGCUUUGCUCAGUUUCAAAGCGGACAAAAUGUAAUUGUUUAGAAAAGGAUGAGGCAUUCUAUUGUCACCUUCCAGGUGAGCCUAAAUUCCUCCCCAAGUAGGGUGUACACCUCAUUCUUAGCAUCAGAUCCACAAACCUAAACACAUUUGAGAGCAUCUAAGGACUGGCAUGGAUGCCUCCCCACCCCCUUGUCUUUGAUGAUUUGGAUAGUUUUAAAAUGUGUUCUCUGAUCAUUCAACCAGUAAGUAUUUAUUGAGUACUUUCCAUAUGGUAAGGCAUCAGGAGAGGUGUUAAUGGGAAUAUAUGAAAAACAAACAUGGUUCCUGCCUCAAGGAGCUUAUAGAGACAGAAGCAAACAAAUAACAAUUAACUCAUUUUUUUUUAGGCUACAAGUGAGCAAUACCUAAUAUGCAAAGUUUGGGUUGAAGAUAGGGUUAGAAUCAAGGCAUUCAUAAUAAAACUCAUCACUACCUGCUGCCCAUGCUUCAAAAAAAUCCACAAGAUUUUGAAAUAUAUCAUAUGUAAAUUAAACUUAUUAUUAUCUUCUUUACCAAUCUUUGUACUUCCAAAAUAAUUUCUAAAGACCACACAAAAUAAAAUGCGUCUAUCUGCAGAAGCAAGCUGUAUUAACUUGCAUUCAUCAAAGGCACAAAACUGCCAGGAUCCACAGCCUUCAAGUUCAAAAGUAAAAUUAUUUCUGCCUCGAGAAAGCAAUGAUGUUUCUAAAGAGAAAAAGGUCUGCUUGCAAGCUUCAUUUUUUAAAAACUGUAUCAUUAGAUGUAUAUUCCUAAGUAUCCUACAACAAUGAGAAAUAAGGAGCUUGUUGUCUUGCUUGUUUAAAAGAUUGGCCAAAGGAAUAAAAGUAAGUCUGAAUGUUUCAGAGUUGGGAGAAAGCCUCAUUUCUUUCUUUUUUUUUUUUUUUUUUUUUGUCUUUUUGCCAUUUCUUGGGCCGCUCCCUCAGCAUAUGGAGAUUCCCAGGCUAGGGGUCGAAUCGGAGCUGUAGCCACCGGCCUACGCCAGAGCCACAGCAACGUGGGAUCCGAGCCACGUCUGGGACCUACACUACAGCUCAUGGCAACGCCGGAUCAUUAACCCACUGAGCAAGGGCAGGGACCGAACCCGCGACCUCAUGGUUCCUAGUUGGAUUCGUUAACCACUGCGCCACGACGGGAACUCUGAAAGCCUCAUUUCUUUUGACCCUGACCUAUACAAGGAAAUUGAACAGGUACUACUUUAUUGAAAAACAAAGUUUCUCCUUAAAUGAACUGUCAAAUGGUAUUUUGGCUAAACAUGCACACUUCCAAAAUCUGUGAAUGACAAUUGGCAGAAUCUACCCUUAAUAGCUUUAAAGGGAUACUACUAACAUUAUUUACAUAAUACACAUACUCUAUUUUAAUGUUCCAUUCAUAUUUACAUGUAUCAAAGAGCACAAGGCUCCAUGGUUUACCUACAAGCUAUGUAUAAAAAUACUGCUUUUCCAGUUAGCAAUAUACUGAAAUAUUUACCACAUUUGAAAGAACUCUUCCAUGGCAUGUGAGUAUUUGUGGGGAGCAAGAGUCAGGAGUGUUAUCCAUAAAUGACUGUCAAAAGAUGAGACCAUGGAGUUCUUCUUUUUCUAUAAUAUACACUGAGUCAAUAAUCCCAUCAAUAGGAUAUUCUGAAAUAUGUGAUCUCCAAAUCUAUAGAAAAAGAUGUAAAUAUUUCUUAAAUGCUUCUAAAAACAUAGUCGAAAUCAUUCAAAACAGAACUCAUCCCAUAAAAAUGAUUCUCUGGUUUCACUGGUGGCCUAGCGGUUAAGGAUUCAGAGAUGUCACUGCUAUGGCUGGGGUUUGAUCCCUGGCCUGGGAACUUUUGUAUGUUGCGGG